GCGGGGUAGAGCAGUCUGGUAGCUCGUCGGGCUCAUAACCCGGAGGUCGUUGGUU
rnacentral:tRNA from 1 species